GUUUCCUCUUCUGAAAACCCGUAAUCAUAACUGCACCUCUUGCAGUGAGGAGGCAAUGUGGAACGCGGAGCCCACGUGUGCCCGGCACUUGGCAAGUACUGGGGAAGGGAUUAGGAAGGGCAGGAGUUACAUCACUCAUUUCUUUUUACAGCUGAGAAAACAAGCGGAGGAGGCUCAGGGAGGUAAGGCCGGUUGCCCAAGGUCACACAGCCCAGUAGGAGGAGGAUGGGGCCCCAGCGAGGCUGGCUGACUUGUGCUCUAAUCACUGAGCCCUCUGGCCGCAGGCCCGCCCGCCCAAGUACCUUUCCCUGUCUCCGUGGCCCGUGGACCCCGAAGGCUGCGUGGGGCCACGGGGACAAGUGGCAAGGCCGAGGCUGAGCCCACUGGGCCGGAAGGGUUAACGCGCUCCGCCGCAAUGGGCCGGCCUCCGGGGGAACCAGCCAAUGGGCACGCGCCGCGAUGAGCCUUACAGCCGCAGAAACCUCUGUGCUGGAGCCGAGUCUCAGGCGGCCCCGCGACCCUUAAGGUCUGCGGCAUAUGAACCUGAAGAGAGGUCCUGCCUCCUUUGAGCCUCAGUUUCCCCUUUUGCAAGAAGAUCGCUGAAGACGCGACUAGCUGGUCGGUCCUCAUCUUCAGCUGCUCUUCCCUUCUGCAGAGUCAUUUUGAUUUUGCACCGACUCCUUCCUCACAGGUGUUCACACCUUCCACCCCAGCUAGAGAUGAAAGGAGGACACUCACCAUUCAGUACUCACCCAGGCCAUCCAUCGACAGAAACGUCAGAUAGCGCAUCCACGCCUGAUCACCUCUCUCGGCUGCUGGGGGAGCCCACACAAGCAGGCGCAUCGAUGAGCUCCCGGCCUGCCAACUCUGGGCCUGCCUCAGACUGAUGCAGCUGGGUGGUGGCUUCUCUGGACUUCGCUUGAAAGGCGUAGCCUGGACCUUGCCGGGAGCCAUGGGUGCAGAGCACGCACCUCUGGCCUCUAUCUUGAAACACUGGACUGUGGAUCUGAUGCUGGGAGUUCAGACUGGAAAAGGAGAAACAUAGGAACCAGCAGGCGAUAUAAGGCCAGCGGGGAUGGUCUGGGAGCAGUAACGGCGAAGAUCACGGAGGCCCACCGUCCUGCACUCCAAAUCCCUGGCUACAUAGGUUCAGAACUCAGAAUUUCCCCAGUUGUAGGAGGAAAGGAUUACACGUAGACCACAUAUCUCCUAACACCCCCAGUGAAGUGUGGGGCAGCCCCUGUAAUCAGACGUGUUACCAGGCCUGCGGCAAAGCCUACGAACAAAGACACAAAUCCUCUCUGAAGCUCAGUUUUCUCGUCUCUAACGUGGAGCAAUGGCUGUACCAGGCUCACAGGGUUGCCCUGAGAAUUUGAUGCUUCCCGUGAUACCGGCCAGCCCGCAGGAGACACAGGUUCUUGGCCUGCCCCGAGCCCUCUGGGGCACGUGCUGCUCCUUUCCGGAAUAUUCAUCCCUAGAUGUCUCAGGAGAUAGCUCUCUCACUUCCUUCAGGACCCGCCCCAGCAGGACUUGCCCUGUCUAUCCCCGUCUCCUCCCGCCCCUGUUCUCCUUUGUCUUCCUUCCCAACCUCUAUCAUUUGAAGUAUCACUUAAAUCAAUUACUCCCUUGUUAAUUGCCUGCCCUCCUGCAGUAGAUUCCAAGCUCCGUGUAGUCAGGACUCUGUGCUGUCGCCCACUUUGCCCCAGAACUUAGGAAAGAGCUGGCACAGACGGGCGCUCUGACUUCUGUUGAAUGGGCGACAGUCUGUUAAAUGUGCCUUGUGCAUCGAAAAGGCUCAGUGAGGCCCAGCCCUGCACCAUCAGCCUUGUUAUUAUUGAUGCUGCUGUUAUUAUUUACUUUUUAGUUGCCCCAGGGCAUGUGGCAUCUUCCUGGACCAGGGAUCAAACCCAUCUCCUCUGCAUUGGCAGGUGGAUUCUUAACCACUCCACCACCAGGGAAGUCCCACUAUUAUGAAUAUUAUUAUUAGUAUCAUUACUCUGUUCCUGAGCUGAUCCCAGUCCUUGGUUCUCCAGCCUCUGAAAUGAGCAUCCUGGGGACUGAGGCAUCAGCCACCAGAAACAGAACAGGUUCUUGCUGGAGAGACAAAGGAGGCUGCCCGCCGCCCUGGGGGAGCCUGCGCCCCUCACUGGAGAGAGAGGCCUGGGAGAAGCUUGGAGAAGGCACACAGCCCCAUUGAACAGGGCUGCCAGAAGGCCAUACAUAAUUCAUUGCCAAAUGGGGCGGCGGGCGGCUGUGCGCUGGGGGCUCACUCCGCGCCUGGCACUUUGCUGACUGCUCCUCACACGUUGCCUCGUUGCAUCUUCUUGGAUUUGUGGGGUGCGAACCUUCCCCCGCCUCUCCCUUUUCCCCGGGGGGGAGCCUGAGGUUUAGAGGAUGGGGCCACCGUGCAAGUCACCAGCUUCUCAGUGGCCAAGCGGGAUCCACAGUCCCUGCCUCUCUCUGGAGGAAAGAGACAGCACUGGGGACCGAGUGGGGACUGAGACCUACCCGAGACGGGGCAGCAGAGGACGGGCCGGGUCACAGCAGGGCCAAAGGAAAAGGGCAGGGGACCCGCAGCCCACCUCCUCCUCCUCUCCUGGAGGACAAGCUCCCUGCUGUGGCCGCCAAGAGUGCUGGCUCUGGAGUUUCAAGGGCUCAGUUUGCUCAGCUGCAAAGUGGGAGGAACAGAACCCAUCCCCUGGGGCUCCGAGGUCCUGUAGACAGGAUGCUGGCUCAGAAAGGGGCAUCCGCCCAGGAGGAAAGCCAGUCCCCAAAAAGGUUACAUCCUCUGUGAUUCCCUUCAGAUAGCAUAUUUGAAGUCAUACAAUGAUAUGAUGGAGGACAGACUAGGGACACACUGGAUGGAGGUAGAGUCGGGGUGUGCUUUUGAAAGAGCCCCAGGAGGGAUCCUUGUGCUGAUGGAAAUGUCCUGCAUCCUCCCUGUGACGGAGGAUCUACAAUUUCAUCCUGUGAUGAAAUUGUAUAGAACUAGACACACAAAAGCGUGUAAGGGAAACUGGGGAAUCGGAGUAAGACUGGGGGCCAUGUCGACGUCUACAUCCCAGCCCUGAUACUGUCCCUGUUGUUCCGCUCGAUGCUUCCACUGGGGGAAGCUGGGUGAAGGGCACAGGGGGUCUCUCUGUACUACUUCCUACAACUGCACGUCCAUCUACAACCAUCUCAGUGGAGACGUCAAUUUUUAAAAAUGUCAUCUGGAGAAUUCCCUGGGGGUCCAGCGGUUAGGCCCUCACGGCUGAGGGCCCGGGUGUGAUCCCUGGUCAGGGAACUAGGAUCCCUCGUGUGGCACAGCCCCCCCAAAACAAAACAAUGUCAUCUGCCUCUGCCCCAGAAAGGAUUGCAUGAACCACCGCAAUUCGUCCUUUCCUCAGCUCUGAAUUGUCCUUUCUGCCUCACUCUGAGGGUCCCCAGUCUUUAUUCCAGAAUGUUCCUGUUGUCUCUCACUUUUGCCUAGACAGGACUUCAGUACUACCCCGUGGGAAUCUAGACAGACCCUAGAGGAGGACAAGGAAGGCCUUUGUCAUCUGUCUCCUGUCUGCAUCCAGCUGGGAAUCACAGCCACGCCAAGGCUCCCAGUCAGGAUUAUGAAAACCGUGAGCCCACCAGCCUUGGUCUUCCUCUCCAAGAGAGUGUGGGCCAGUGGAGAGCAUGCUGAGUGUCCGGCCCUACGGCUUCCAGACCCAGCCAAUCUUCUGCCGCACAGUGUGACUCCAGACAAUCCCUGUCCUCUUUUUGGUUCCUAGUUUCCUCAUCUGAAGCACAAACGAACUGGACUGGAUUAUCCUUAGGGUUCUUCCAGGUCCGUGGAGAGGUGAGCCUGGCCCCUAUGCUGCUACUCAGGGGACUCUCCUUGACAUUUGUGUGAUUGGUUGAGAAGAGCAGGGCCCAGGCCUGCCUCGGGCCCUCCCUGCCUUUUAGCAUCAGUGCAGUGAGAGGUCAUUAAGUCACUCAAAAAACGUGCAUUGAGCACUCACCAACUGCCAAACACUGGGGAAUAAAAGGUAGGGGGUGGAAGGGCAAUGCUGUCCCUGCCUUUGCGGAACCUGCAUUCUAGGAGGGAAGAAAGCCACAAAGAAAGACAAAAUAGCAACUGAGAUCAUGCAAAGAAGGAAAGCAGCAGCUGCAUUGGCAUGUUUCAGGGCCAUGGUGAGGGCUUCCCUGGGAAGUGACCAUUGAGCCACUGAGCUGAGAUCUGAGCAAGGAGUCAACUCUAAGCAAAGAAGGGGGAAGAUGGCCAAGGGUAGAGACUCCUCCACAACAGCAGCGGCAAGAGCUGGGGGCCCGUGCAGAGCAGUGGUCUGGAGUGACAGAUCGUGUUCCAGGAAAGAUCAACAGCUUCAGUGGGUGACACAGGAGAGCCGAGAUGAGGGGAGCCAGGCUGAGGAGCCUCGUCCCCAUCCCAGACAGAAGGGAUCCUGUGAGCUGCAUUACGCAAGGGAUUUGUGUUUUGGAUUUGGAAUUUUUGUGUUGGAUUUGUGUUUUGAAAAUCUCCUCCUGGUUACCAAGAGGAGAGGAGACCUCAUGGGUCCUCCUUGUUGCCUUAUAUUUUUACCAUAGUGUUAUUGAGGCAUGUCCAAGCAUUAAAUGAAGCAUAAGGUCCUUAUAGCUCUUUUUGAAGAUUGUUUUAUUUUAUUGUUUAUUUCCGUCUGUGCUGGGUCUUUGUUGCUGCAUGCAGGCUUUCUCUAGUUGCCGCGAGUAGGGGCUACUCUCUGACUGUGAUGCGCAGGCUUGUCACUGUGGUGGCUUCUCUUGUUGCAGAGCACAGGCUCUGGGUGCAUGCGCUUCAGUAGUUGCGUUGCUUAGGCAUGUGGAAUCUUCCUGGACCAGAGAUUGUACCUGCGCUGGCAGGUGGAUUCUUCACUGCUAGACCACCAGGGAAGUCUUCCUUAUAGCUGUGAGAGCCACAAAACCAAGACAAAUUGGUCAAGCAGAUACAAAAUCAAAUCGGAUUCGUUUCAUGGGACGUAUCUUUUUUUGAAACUCUGUCACCACCUACAGUGCAACUAUGGCCCAACUACUAUGGCUCUGAGUCUGUGGGACAGAGCAGAUUGGUUUUAUGAUCCAAGAAGAAAGGGGUAGACAACUCAAGAAAAAAAACGGAAGCAAUGAAUUAAAAUACUUCACAAAUGAAUAGCCAGAUAACCAGCAAAUGCAUGAUAAAAAGUGCCCAGCUUCACGACUCAUCAAGAGGAAACACAAAUUAAGAAGACAGUGAAGUACCACGUCA
ensembl:lncRNA